rnacentral:lncRNA from 1 species
AAAGAUUUAUUUUUUAGGAGUUUAAAAAAUUAUGAAUUCAAUUUCCUUAAUAGUUAGGGCUAUUCUAAGUACCCAUUUCAUAUUAAGUGAGUCAUGGUAGUUUGUGUCUUUUGAGGAAAUAAAGUAAGAUUAAGUCUUUUUAUCUUACCUAGCAAUAAAUUUUUGAUGUUACCAUAUACCUUUAUUUCCAGACUACAAAAAGAUGUUGAGAAAGAAUAAGGAAAAUGUUGUGUCCACUGUUAAGCUCAAGAAAAAAUUAUUACACAUAUGGUUAAAGACUGUGUGCAUUUCUCUUCCGUUUUUCUUCCACUCACCUCUAACCUAAUGGCCACUACUCUGGGUUCGAUGUUUAUUAUUCUCUCAGAUGUCCAAGUAAUUGUUUUUUUAAUGUGGCUAACCAAUAUAGUAUCCAGAUGUAUACUAUCUGACUGGCUGGCACAUAUUGACAUUAAACAAUGAUAUUGACAUGCCAUUAUUUUGGUUUGUUUCCACAGUUCUUCCAGUGUUUAUUCAAGUACCUGAGGAUACAAGUGCAGAGGUUGGAAAGAAUGUAAAUAUUUCAUGUCAUGCUCAGGGAGAAUCACAGCCCAUAAUUAUUUGGAAUAAGUCAUGGAAUUGAUUUUCAAAGCAACACACGGGAGACAAGCUGGAGAUGACUUUGUCAAUCGUCCAUUCUUGAUGCUGUACAGAGGGUUGACAGUGCAAUUAACUCCACAAGAAGACAUUUGUUUUCACAAAAAUCUUGCACCCCUAGUGAUCUACUGGCUCAGUCUUGUUAUCCGCAUGACCCGUUUACCGUGGAGACGGCCAGAGCCGGGGAGAUUUUUGAGCACACACUUCAGUUGAUCCAGGAGCACGUGAAGCAGGGACUCACUGUGGAUUUGGAGGGCAGAGGUCAGCCUUGAAGCAUCCUGUUCUAAGCCUGCUGUCCAGAGAAAAACUGACCACCCCUCAGCUUUUAAUCUCCAAAGCAUCACGUGAUUUAGAAAUUAAUUUGCUACCACUUUUACCAAAUGAAUGUAGAUGUUUCUUGUAGGAACUGUAAUUCAAAAGUAAGGACGACAAAUAUAUAUUCAAACUUGUCAACUUUUGCCACUUAUAUAUGUCUAGUAAAUCUAGGGGGCCCAUUUUAUGUGAAUGUACUUUUCAAAUCUAAAAGAUAUUACUACUUCCUAUAGCAAAUCCUUUAUUCUCAGCGUAAUGUUUCUCUACUUAUCAUUGUAAUCACCGAAGUCAUUCAGUGAAUUGAUUUGAAUUCCUUCCACCUCCUAUAACAUAUGUAUCCCUCUCCACUCUCUCUCUCUUUCUCUCUCUCUCUGCUGUACUCAAGUUCUAGUGUAUUUCUUUACAAAACCAGACAUUAUUUAGUAUACAUUGAAUCAGAAUGAUAUAGAAAUCUUUCAGAUUUUCUAAGCCAUUCUUUUUAAAAUGAAAUAAAUGAAUGUGAUCCUCUGCUAUACA